rnacentral:rRNA from 1 species
GUGCCAGCCGCCGCGGUAAUACGGAGGAUCCGAGCGUUAUCCGGAAUCAUUGGGUUUAAAGGGUCCGUAGGUGGACGAUUAAGUCGGAGGUGAAAUCCUGCAGCUCAACUGUAGAAUUGCCUUUGAUACUGGUUGUCUUGAAUCAUUGUGAAGUGGUUAGAAUAUGUGGUGUAGCGGUGAAAUGCAUAGAUAUCACAUAGAAUACCGAUUGCGAAGGCAGAUCACUAACAAUAUAUUGACACUGAUGGACGAAAGCGUGGGGAGCGAACAGGAUUAGAUACCCUGGUAAUCCACACCAUAAACAAUAAAUACUAACUGUCCGGGCUUCGGCCUGGGUGGCUAAGCGAAAGUGAUAAGUAUCCCACCUGGGGAGUACGUUCGCAAGAAUGAA